UACGUAGGGACCAAGCGUUGUUCGGAUUUACUGGGCGUAAAGGGCGCGUAGGCGGCAAUUCAAGUCAUCUGUGAAAGCCCAGGGCUCAACCCUGGGAGGCGGGUGGAUACUACGGAACUGGAGUACGGAAGAGGAGAUUGGAAUUCCUGGUGUAGCGGUGAAAUGCGCAGAUAUCAGGAGGAACACCAACAGCGAAGGCAGAUCUCUGGGACGUUACUGACGCUGAGACGCGAAAGCGUGGGGAGCAAACAGG
rnacentral:rRNA from 1 species